CCAGCCAAUAGGAGCUGAGAAAUUUUGCUGAGGGGCAGGGACAACAUGUGACGCCUCCCUCCACAGUACAGAGAGCCACAUGACAUAGUCAUCUGAGUGAUCUGGCAUUGCUGGCAGGCAGGGAAUCCUGCCUGAGGGCUGCUGGCUAGGAGCUGCAUAGCCUUAUGCCCAGGUCCCGGAGCAGGAGCUGCCGCUGCUAGCUAUGACAUCAGUGAAUCAAAUCCAACUUCCAGCCAAAUUCCAACACAUUUUCUUUGGGGACGUCAGAGAAUAACGUGAUAGAAGCCACUGAUAGUACUGCUGACAAUGAAUGGGGCUGUAAAACUUUCAAGUGAUCGCAAAAUACGCACCAGCUUUGAGAAUAAGGAGUAAGCGCUUUCUUUCCAGGCUGAAAGGCACACACUCCUGUUUUGUCUUCAGCAAAAGGUCUGGUCUUCUGCAGAGACUGCUGGUUUAACUGCUUGUCUAGAGACUCACCCACCACAAUGACUGAGGAGUAAUAUACUGAAUGCACUAUAAAAAGCUCUUAAAAAGACAUUGGUAUCCUUCACAUAGGACAUUUUUCAGGUUGUGCUGUAACAGCUCACCAAGGGUUUAUCUACACAGGAUUAUUCCCAGAAGGGGCAAGGCCAGGGGCAGCUAGGUCUCAGUGCAGCCUGGUGCGCAUUGCUCCGGUGAGGAGUUAAAGGGCCCAGAGCUCCAAGCCCCACCACUACCACAGUAACAGUGCCUUUUGAAUUGCCAGGCUUUGGGGCAGUUACUCCCUUCUCUGUCCUCCAUUCCUCUUUGUUGGCAUACCAGGUUAUCCCAGAAUAGCUAUUCCUGGUUAACUCUCUCUGGCUUUGUGUGGAUUUUCUUAUUCCAGAAUUAGAGUGCUUUUUUCUGAACUAGCUUGAUCUGCACAAAGAGUUAUUCAGGAAUAGCUAUUCUGCUUUAAAUUCAUGUCCUGUCUGAAUUCAGAUUAACUUCCCUGCCUAGACAAGCUUGCAGUGGUGGACAGGAGUUCAACCCACAUCAAAGUACUCAGUGUUGAUUCUAAUACAUAAUCCUCCCAAAGGUCUCCUUGUAUUGUUUUUGUCAAUAUUAUUCCACAGACACAAGAACUGGUUUGAACUAAAUUCUGUUUAAUAUGUAAGAUUGUGCAAUAACAUGUAUUGCAGCUUUUCCAGGGGUAUAUUGGCCAUGAUUACUGGGUUUUUACCAGCAGAGCUGGCUAAAACAUGCACUAAAAAGAUGCAAAAAUGUGGUCAACAUUUUGUUUGCGCUUUUUGGUGAAAGUCCAAAUGUUAAUAUUUUUCAUUGACCUUUCAAUAAUAGAAAUUUUAUGACUAGCCCUGUCUUCUAUUUCCCUCCAAAUUUCACAGGAUUGUUAGCUACUAGCAGAAGUGAAGUCAGUUUUUCACCCCAAUGACACCUGCAGCUGAGCAGCAAUUUCCCCAUGAAGGCACUGGUGUAGGAGUCAGACUAGAAUCCAAAAGAACUUGAGCUUUCCAGGCCAAAAAUAGUGCUACACAUUCUUAAAGAAUGAAGACUAUUUCUGCACCCACCUGUGGUUCAGAUUUGAGCUAAACCCUUUUCUUUGAUUUUUCUGUAUCUGAAUAUGCAUUCACUGUUUUGCAUGCCCUUUGUAACACUGCUGAUACAAUGCCAUAUUACUGACAAUGCAAUUGCAAUUGGCUUCAGUGGCAGCAGGAGCGAAAGCCAGACCCUGAAAUCCUUACUCAGCAAUUCAAGGUAACAAAUCGGAAUAAUGAAGGCAGCAUCUGUGACUUUCUAAUCAAGCUGCAAACUGUCAAACUCAAG